CAAACUAGAUAAAGAUUAUCAAUUUCUUCAGCCCACUGAACCGACUCAGACUUGUACCCUUGCCUACUCCAACACUGCUCCGCGCUUGAUGACAAACUUGGAGAAUUCAUCCCCCGCCUCCACCCUAGACAUAAACCUUCAUAGACGUUGUUCGGAUAACGAUGCAUUUGUUCAUGACAUGACUGCCAUGAAUCGCACACUGCUGGACAACUCUCUAUGUAUACCGCAUAUCAUGCCAUCUACUAAGCCAAGAAUAAGGUUUGAAUACAAACAGGAGAAGCAACAUAAGUUUAGAAGAACACAUAGACCAUAAGUUAAAUAAGCAUUAAUGAUUCAUUUACCCACAAGAAUUGUAGAUUCUAGUCAAGUUCUACUCCGAGCCGACAUCAGGAGCUAGAUUCACUGCAUAGACAUUAAACUAUCUAGUUAGGCUACUUA
rnacentral:lncRNA from 1 species